rnacentral:rRNA from 1 species
AUUGAACGCUGGCGGCAUGCUUUACACAUGCAAGUCGAACGGUAACAGGGAGCUUGCGCCGCUGACGAGUGGCGAACGGGUGAGUAAUAUAUCGGAACGUACCCAAGAGUGGGGGAUGACGUAGCGAAAGUUACGCUAAUACCGCAUACGAUCUAAGGAUGAAAGCAGGGGAUCUUCGGACCUUUUGCACCUGUAGCGGCGGAUAUCGGAUUAGCUAGUUGGUGAGUUAAAGGCUCACCAAGGCGACGAUCAGUAGCUGGUCUGAGAGGACGACCGGCCACACUGGAACUGAGACACGGUCCAGACUCCUACGGGAGGCAGCAGUGGGGAAUUUUGGACAAUGGGCGCAAGCCUGAUCCAGCAAUGCCGCGUGAGUGAAGAAGGCCUUCGGGUUGUAAAGCUCUUUUGUCAGGGAAGAAACGGGAGUGGAUAAUAUCCAUUCCUAAUGACGGUACCUGAAGAAUAAGCACCGGCUAACUACGUGCCAGCCGCCGCCGUAACAC